UACGAAGGGGGCUAGCGUUGCUCGGAAUCACUGGGCGUAAAGCGCACGUAGGCGGAUUGCUAAGUCAGGGGUGAAAUCCUGGAGCUCAACUCCAGAACUGCCUUUGAUACUGGGGAUCUCGAGUCCGGAAGAGGUGAGUGGAACUCCGAGUGUGGAGGUGAAAUUCGUAGAUAUUCGGAAGAACACCAGUGGCGAAGGCGGCUCACUGGUCCGGUACUGACGCUGAGGUGCGAAAGCGUGGGGAGCAAACAGG
rnacentral:rRNA from 1 species